CAAAGACUCCCUCCGUCCGGAAAUACUUGUCAUCAAAAUGGAUAAAAGGAAAUGUAUCUAGACGUAUUUUAGUUUUAGAUACAUCUCUUUUUAUCCAUUUUGAUGACAAGUAUUUUCGGACAGAGGGAGUAGAAA
rfam:Triticum aestivum genome assembly, contig: Triticum_aestivum_CS42_TGACv1_scaffold_396117_5AS